UUCAGGUACAGCGGUCACUACAGUGGACAGCUUAUCAGGUUACCGGUUGUCAUUAUUAGUGCACGAAAGGGUUAAUUGAAUCAUUACAAGUCCAAUUGUUUUAAUGGUCUAACUCAGCCUAAUGGUAUGUUGACUUACAAUAAUAUAAAAUACACUUUUUUUUUAGGAAUAAAACAGCUAUGUUGGAGAAAUAAUUCAGAUCUGAUUGAUUAGCAGUACCCAUAUGUUCUGUUUUUGUGUUUAUAUUGACUUUUUUUUUUUUAAAUGGACAAAUAAUGAUGUCUAACGUUGGUUUAACGCAUUCACACCCGAAUAUAGAAAAUAAAAAAGGAUAUUGCAUCAAGUGCUAAUGGAUACAGAAGGCCAUCUGCACAAGCUUCAUUUAAGCAAAAUAAAUAUGGAAGGAAGCGGAUGUUUUUUAUCAGUGCGGCUUGGAAAGCAGCCACGUGCUACUGCGAGACAUUCGCCUUCGCAGGAAAUUGUAUUGCCACUUGAUAUUCCAAGCUGGUUAGAGGUAUUAACCAGAGACCGGCACGUGCUUAUCACAGCAUUUUUUUUUUCUUUUUCGAACGAACAUCAUGUUCUCUUCAUGGGACUUAAUGACCACAAACAUCACUUGCAUGCACUUUUAUUGCCAUGCAAACACAAACGAAAGCUGCUCAUCAGGAUUUUUUGGAUUGCAAAAUGUGCUGAAUGGCUACUCGAUAUUUCAUUAUUCAUCAGGGCUAACGGCUUCAUACGUGUCCCUGUAAGCACAGCGCAAAUAGCGUUUUUUUUUUUACAUUUGUUUUUGUCGGUCUGUUUGAUUGCAAGGAGAUGAGUGCAGCAUUUGUUCCGACAGCGCUACAUUGCUCCUUAGGUCAAACGUAAUAUUCAAUAAUAUCCAUAUUCGAUUUGGAUGCUGUCUCCUUUGUUUGUGUGUUCUUUGGAAAACACACUGUGAUUUGUAUGAUUUCUUUAUAGGUGCUUCAAAGUUUGUUUUUUUUUUUGUGUGUGUGCAUGUGUGUGUGUAUACGUGCAUUUUCAAGUCGUGUUUCUUGGUAACUUUGUCUAUUCCUCCUCAGUGAACAAUAAUUUCACAUCUGCCACUUGUCUUUUAAGAGGCGAUCUGGUUGUGGGAGUGAUGUUUGUCCACACAAAGUGUGCAUGUCCUACUGACACGAAGAAGCAGCACUCCCACUAAAUCCAAUGACUCACCAGGUGACUGCCCUUGAUUGGAAUUUCAUAAUUUAAUCGGAAUAUUUUUAAAAGAGUCCACCUACACCCUUUUUCCAAGAACAGCCAGUCAGAACAUUUGGAGAUCUUAGGGAACACUGAUGACCACAUUGAAGCAAGAAGGAGAAAAAUCUGCGAAUAUUUUGUGGUAAGUUGGGGCAUUUUUUUUAAUCCAUCCAUUUUAUUGUAUUGGAUUUCAUGGCAGUUUGAGAUGAUAUAAACUCUCACGUCACAACAAGGGAUUUUUUUUUUUUGACCCAUGUAAUAGUGUGACAGCCCCCGAUUAUUAGAAAUGUUCGAUUAAAAUGUACUUUUAUUACAAGAUUCUCGAAUAACUAUCUAUAAAUAAUAAUAUAUAAUGAUGGUUAUUAUUUUAUUAUUAUUUACUUGUGUGGGCGUGACUGUCUCUUAGAAGGACUUAUCUGGGACCCUAAAAUAUUUGUCAAUUUUUGCGAGCAUAGAUGAGAUUGGAAGUAUACGUUCAAGCCCCACAAAAGCAAAAAAAAAAA